rnacentral:tRNA from 2 species
GCAGGUAUGGUGGAAUUGGUAGACACGCUAUCUUGAGGGGGUAGUGCACAUCGUGCGUGUGAGUUCAAGUCUCACUAUCUGCACCA